UGCUCUGUGCGGGGAUCGCAGGCCCCCGAGCUGCAGGGGGCAGCAAAGCGCGCCCACCUGCCCGCCUGCCCGAGGAGAACACCGCAGCUCUGCUAAUCGAGGGACAGCCGCAACCCAAAGUUCGGCAGCUUUCCGCCUGAGCUUCCCCUCCCUGAGCGAGGACACUGGAGGGAGGCAGAGACGGAGAGCCCAUGGGCAGAUCUGCAUCCUCCAAAAGCCUCCAUAGCCUCUGGGAAGGAAAUGUAUCGAGGAGGCCUGGAGGGAAGCAGGGAGACACCCAUGAGUCUAAUGAGAUCAAGUGGCCUGAGUGGGUUGAAGUCCUUGGAUCAGACCGUGGAAGCUGGAAUGGAGAGAGAUUUCGGAGGGGCAGCCAGACCUGAUGGACAAUAGGAUUCCCAGACAAGCAAAAGAGGUUUCCCUCCCUUACUUCUCCCAGGCCAUCCUCAUCUCUGCAGCAGCCCAAAUGGGCUCCCUGUCUCCUCAUGGCAGAUAAAACGAUGUUUUAUAAUUACGAUCCUGUCACUCUUCCUCAUAGGAGUGCCGCCAACCCAUUGCCCUUGAGAUGGAGACCACCUCUUUGGUAUUGCAAAGAAGGUCCUUCGUAAUCAUCUAUCCCUCAUCCUCACCCUUCUGCUCCAUUUGAAAGGCCCUCCAGAACAACAUGUCAUUCCUGGGAACCAUCUUUGGUAUUGCAAAGAAGGUUCUUCAUGAUCAUCGUCCCCCAUCCUCACCCUCCUGCUUCAUUUGAAAGGCCCUCCAGAACAAUGUGUCACUACCAGAAACCAUUCGCUAUCUCUGUUCCUUGUUUGUAUUUCUGCACUGGAAAUGGCCUUACAGCUCCACACUCAUCCUUCAGACAUGCAGCUCCUUGGUGACCCCAUCUGCUGGGUGCUGGCCUAUGUCACAUCCAGGUUGCUUUUUAUUCAUUGUCUCAUCUACCAGCCCAUGCCUCCCCAAGGGCAGGGCUGGUCCUGGUUCACUAACCCAUCCCCAGCACCCAUUGGAAUGCUCUAGACUUCAGCCCAGUGAGUCACUAAGAAAGGACAGAUACCUUG
rnacentral:lncRNA from 1 species